rnacentral:rRNA from 1 species
GACGAACGCUGGCGGCGUGCUUAACACAUGCAAGUCGAACGGGAAGGACCUGGUUUUGUGGGGGGCUCGAGUGGCGAACGGGUGAGUAACGCGUGAGUAACCUGCCCUGGACUCUGGGAUAACUGCAGGAAACUGGGGCUAAUACCGGAUAAGAGGUCCGGCCGCAUGGGGGGUGUUGGAAAGUUUCGGCGGUGGGUGAGGGCCUCGCGGCGUAUCAGCUUGUUGGUGGGGUAGUGGCUUACCACGGCUUUGACGUGUAGCCGGCCUGAGGGGGUGACCGGCCACAGUGGGACAGAGAUACGGCCCAGACUCCUGCGGGAGGCAGCAGUGGGGAAUAUUGCAAAAUGGGAGGAAGCCUGAUGCAGCAGCGCCGCGUGCGGGAAGACGGCCUUCGUUUUAUAGCCCGCUUUCGCCUGUGACGAAGCGUGAGUGACGGUAAUGGGUAAAGAAGCACGGGCUAAGUACGUG